rnacentral:rRNA from 1 species
AUUGAACGCUGGCGGCAGACCUAACACAUGCAAGUCGAGCGGUAGAGAGAAGCUUGCUUCUCUUGAGAGCGGCGGACGGGUGAGUAAUGCCUAGGAAUCUGCCUGGUAGUGGGGGAUAACGUUCGGAAACGGACGCUAAUACCGCAUACGUCCUACGGGAGAAAGCAGGGGACCUUCGGGCCUUGCGCUAUCAGAUGAGCCUAGGUCGGAUUAGCUAGUUGGUGGGGUAAUGGCUCACCAAGGCGACGAUCCGUAACUGGUCUGAGAGGAUGAUCAGUCACACUGGAACUGAGACACGGUCCAGACUCCUACGGGAGGCAGCAGUGGGGAAUAUUGGACAAAGGGCGAAAGCCUGAUCCAGCCAUGCCGCGUGUGUGAAGAAGGUCUUCGGAUUGUAAAGCACUUUAAGUUGGGAGGAAGGGCAGUAAAUUAAUACUUUGCUGUUUUGACGUUACCGACAGAAUAAGCACCGGCUAACUCUGUG